rnacentral:misc_RNA from 1 species
GGUACUGUUGAACCAAAGGGGCCAUAAGAAUUACGAGGGCCAUUGUCUGGUGCAAUGGGAUAUGUGUUAGUCUUGCAACCCAAAGGGUUGCUGGUUCAAGCUCAAAGAGCUGCCUCUUAUGCAAGCAUCUUGAAAAUGGUAGGACUAUAUAGUAUAUACUUGUCUUCCAACUUCGGUAGGAUCUUGGCUUGGUAAUGGCAUUAUGUGGAAUGAGAUGUAGACCCCAAAUGGUGCGUAAUACUGUUUGAUGACUCUGAGAAUUUCUGAUAUAUUUGAUAAUAAACCUUUAUUGUUUUUAUGCAGGAUGCCUUGAAGGC